AGAGUUUGAUCAUGGCUCAAGAUGAACGCUAGCGACAGGCUUAACACAUGCAAGUCGAGGGGCAGCGGGGGAGCAGCAAUGCUCCUGCCGGCGACCGGCGCACGGGUGAGUAACACGUAUGGAACCUGCCCGCAGCAGGGGGAUAAGCGGAAGAAAUUCCGUCUAAUACCGCGUAACACCGCGGAGGGGCAUCCCUCGGCGGUUAAAGAUUCAUCGGCUGCGGAUGGCCAUGCGGCGCAUUAGCUAGUCGGCGGGGUAACGGCCCACCGAGGCGACGAUGCGUAAGGGUUCUGAGAGGAAGGUCCCCCACACUGGUACUGAGACACGGACCAGACUCCUACGGGAGGCAGCAGUGAGGAAUAUUGGUCAAUGGCCGGGAGGCUGAACCAGCCAAGUCGCGUGAGGGAAGACAGCCCUACGGGUUGUAAACCUCUUUUGUCAAGGAGCAAGAAGCGGGUCGGGACCUGCUGUGAGAGUACCUGAAGAAAAAGCAUCGGCUAACUCCAUGCCAACAGCCGCGGUA
rnacentral:rRNA from 1 species